ACAUCCAUCGUAUAAGGGUUAGUAUACAUGCUUUCCAGUGAGUUCAACUUGAACACACAGCGCUUGGGAUAGGGGUUCGAGUCCCCUUGGAUGUA
rnacentral:tRNA from 1 species